rnacentral:rRNA from 1 species
CGUAGUUGGAUUUCUGUUAAUAAUUUAUAUAAAAUAUUUUGAUGAAUAUUUAUAUAAUAUUAACAUAAUUCAUAUUACUAUAUAUUUUAGUAUAUGAAAUUUUACUUUGAGAAAAUUAGAGUGCUUAAAGCAGGCAUAUGCCUUGAAUACUCCAGCAUGGAAUAAUAUUAAAGAUUUUUAUCUUUCUUAUUGGUUCUAAGAUAAGAAUAAUGAUUAAUAGGGACAGUUGGGGGCAUUUGUAUUUAACAGUCAGAGGUGAAAUUCUUAGAUUUGUUAAAGACAAACUAAUGCGAAAGCAUUUGCCAAGGAUGUUUUCAUUAAUCAAGAACGAAAGUUAGGGGAUCGAAGACGAUCAGAUACCGUCGUAGUCUUAACCAUAAACUAUGCCAACUAGAGAUUGGAGGUUGUUCCUUACUCCUUCAGCACCUUAUGAGAAA